AAAAGCAAGGAUGACUUAAUUGAGGCUCCAGGAAUUUGUCUUGUCCACCACCCUUCUGCUGCUACAGCAGAGUCAAGGGUUCUGGAAGAGCCCUGUGCCACUGCCAUGUGCAAGGAUUAAGAGGGAGCUCAUUCUACAAACAGCUGAGGAAAGAUAGGGAAUUGAGUUUCCUCCUGUCUUGCUGGGAGACCCUUUUUCAGCUGGAACUAGUUCUCAAUCAAGUUCAUUGUGGUUGGUUAUUCUGUCAAUGUGAAGGAAGAGAUGAGAGCAUCCUUUUGGCAGCACCACUGUGUCCUCUUGUCUUACAGCAAUUAUGGAACCAUUAGGCAAGUUAAGAAUCUGGUCUCCUGUCUGGUUACUAGGGAGAAAGGUGCAUUCCUCUAGAUGGUGAUUUACUGUA